UACGUAGGUGGCAAGCGUUAUCCGGAAUUAUUGGGCGUAAAGAGCGCGCAGGUGGUUGAUUAAGUCUGAUGUGAAAGCCCACGGCUUAACCGUGGAGGGUCAUUGGAAACUGGUCGACUUGAGUGCAGAAGAGGGAAGUGGAAUUCCAUGUGUAGCGGUGAAAUGCGUAGAGAUAUGGAGGAACACCAGUGGCGAAGGCGGCUUUCUGGACAGUAACUGACGCUGAGGCGCGAAAGCGCGGGGAGCAAACAGGAUUAGAUA
rnacentral:rRNA from 1 species